UGAGGCUUCUGUCUGAGUUGACCGUGACCUGUGGUUACAGCAUUUCAGUACUUCAUAGCAGAAUGACCCACAGAGUUCGGCAGGCCCUUGGAAGAACGCUGAAGGAAACUAGAGAAAUGGAAGAAUGGAUUCUCUUGCUUGUGGGCUAACACACCAAAUGUACAACCUUAGUGGACCAUCUGCAGCCACUUUGGAGGACAAAGUGUAUUUACAGGAGCUGGCAUGUGACUCGUGUGGCAGGAGGGUGGUGCAGGAUCCUCUGUGCUGGCCGCUGCUACCGCGCAAGGGCAACGCAACGGCCUGCAAUAGCUGCUCUUCAAUGCGGCACUUCCAACUGAGAAAAUGAGGUAGUGUGGUGGAAGUGGGGACUCUUACUAUUCCUCACUGCAUCGUUUGGCCAAGGGGAGAAGUUCACAAUUCUUGGGGUAUUUGCUCUCUUAUAAACUACUCAUAAAACACUUGUAUGAGGAAAGCAGGCAACAGCAGACACCCUGAAGAGUCCAUCCUGCGUUAAAGGCAAUGAUUUUUUUCUUUGUCAGGCUUAUUUGGUUCUGGCUACGUCAGAGUCAGGCUCAGGAGAUCUGCCUUUACUUUCAGUAGUCAGGGGAGCCCAUUCCUGGGACUACAAGUGAUGAUGAGUUCUGGACUGUGGGGCUUGGACC